AUGGUCACCAUGGACUUCAUCGAUGGCCUGCCCCAGUCAGGAAAAGUCAAUUGCAUCUGGGUGGUCGUGGAUAAGCGCACAAAAUUUGCCCACUUCCUGCCUUUAGCUCAUCCGUACACAGCCUCCAAGGUGGCGCUUCUCUACAUGACAAGCAUCUACAGGAUUCACGGGUUCCCGCGCUCUAUUGUCUCAGAUCGCGACCCGGUGUUUACAAGCCACUUUUGGCGCGAGCUAUUCAAGUACAUGGGCACAGAACUGCGUAUGAGCUCCGCUAACCACCCCCAGACGGACGGUCAAACUGAACGGGUGAACCAGUGCCUGGAAACCUAUCUGCGCUGCUUCAUCCAUGCAUGUCCGAGCCGCUGGAGUCAUUGGCUUCCACUCGCGUAG
rnacentral:rRNA from 1 species